CGUUCCUCCUGAAGGCCUGCUGGUCACUGUAAAGAUGAGGCUUGGCUCAACAAGUCUGACCGAACAACUGCAGUUAAUGAACUGUUCUGAUAUGAGUGGACCACCAACCCGAGUCUUGUGUCAGCAGUGUAUCAAAGCCGGCUGUGAAUGGAGCAACAACAGCUGUUCCUGGGCUAAUGAACGAC